rnacentral:misc_RNA from 1 species
AACGCACGAGACCUGCGGACCUGCGGAGGGAUCAUUAUUGUUGUGGGGAUAUGUGUGAUUGUGAAGCGUGGUUGGCAGGGGGGAGUGUUGUGGAUCGCAGGGGGGAAGCGAAGGAAGCGGAAGCAGAAGCGGGAGCGGAAGCGGAAGCGAGGUCGUAGUAGCCCAUGCAGGAAGCAACACAGAUCUAGCCAAUCAUAGAUGAGCGAGAUGAGAUGAUAGCAAAGUGAUAACACGACAAAA